GGAGUACUCCAUGAAGACUGCAAUGGCUUCCCUCUCACAAACUGCAUGCACGUCCAGCAGCUCCUGGAGUGUGUCUGUGGGGAAUCUCACUUGCUGGGCCAUCUGCUGGCUGUAGUGGUUGGCUGCCCUCUGCACGGCUGCUGAGUUCUCACACUGGGCCAGAACUGCCAUUGCAUUCUCCAGACAAGGAGUCGCUCCACUGUUGAUGGCAUCCAGGGACCAUCAAGCUUCAGAAGAUCAUGUGACAAAUGUUCCAGCCAGUUCCAGUUGAAGACACCACCCCUGGCCAUCAAGAAGCUACUCUGCCUCCACUAGACAGAGCAGGGUGACAGUUCCGUGAUCCCCAAUAGGUAGGGACUUUGCUUCAAGCCAGCAUGAGGCAGUUACAGAAGAAAGACCAUUAGUCACUCCACCUCCCAUAAAGAUUUAUGGGGAUGACAUCUCUCAGGGAGGAAAUGAGGCAGGAAAAUAGGAUCUGGAGGCAUAG
rnacentral:lncRNA from 10 species